rnacentral:rRNA from 1 species
AUACGGAGGGUGCAAGCGUUGUCCGGAUUUAUUGGGUUUAAAGAGUGCGUAGGCGGUUAGAUAAGUCAGUGGUGAAAUACUACAGCUCAACUGUAGAGGUGCCAUUGAAACUGUCUGACUUGAGUGCAGAUGAGGUAAGCGGAAUUUAUGGUGUAGCGGUGAAAUGCAUAGAUACCAUAAAGAACACCGAUAGCGAAGGCAGCUUACUAGACUGCAACUGACGCUGAGGCACGAAAGCAUGGGUAGCGAACAGGAUUAGAAACCCCAGUAGUCC